CCACGAACUGAGUGAUCCCAGGCUUCCGAGAAAAGCUCCGGUGAAGUUAACCGCAUUGGUGUCCGUACCGCAAACCGACUCAGGUGGGCGGGAUGAAUAUUCCAAGGCGCUUGAGAGAACCCAUCCUAAGGAACUCGGCAAAAUUCUACCGUAACUUCGGGAGAAGGUAGGCCGGUGUUUGUGAAGGGCGCACGCCUGGAGCGAGCAGUGGUUGCAGAGAAUUGGGGGUAGCGACUGUUUACCAAAAACACAGGACUCUGCUAAGUCGCAAGACGACGUAUAGGGUCUGAUGCCUGCCCGGUGCCGGAAGGUUAAGUGGAGGUGUCAACCGCAAGGCGAAGCACCGAAUCGAAGCCCCGGUAAACGGCGGCCGUAACAAUAACGGUCCUAAGGUAGCGAAAUUCCUUGUCGGGUAAGUUCCGACCUGCACGAAUGGCAUAACGACUUCCCCGCUGUCUCGGGAUGGGACUCAGUGAAGUAGCACUAGGGGUGAAGAUACCCUUUACCUGCGGCAAGACGGAAAGACCCCAUGAACCUUCACUGUAACUUGGCACUGAUUUUCGGGCUUAAUUGCGUAGGAUAGGUGGGAGGCUUUGAUCCGGGGUCUUUGGAUUCCGAGGAGCCAACGGUGAAAUACCACCCUGUUGAUUCUGGAAAUCUAACCUUCACCCGUUAUCCGGGUGGGGGACAAUGCCUGGUGGGCAGUUUGACUGGGGCGGUCGCCUCCAAAAAGUAACGGAGGCGCGCGAUGGUUCCCUCAGGCUGAUUGGAAACCAGCCGCUGAGUGUAAUGGCACAAGGGAGCUUAACUGCGAGACAAACGAGUCGAGCAGAUGCGAAAGCAGGUCAUAGUGAUCCGGCGGUUCUGUAUGGAAGGGCCGUCGCUCAUCGGAUAAAAGGUACUCUGGGGAUAACAGGCUGAUCACGCCCAAGAGUUCACAUCGACGGCGUGGUUUGGCACCUCGAUGUCGGCUCAUCGCAUCCUGGGGCUGAAGUAGGUCCCAAGGGUUUGGCUGUUCGCCAAUUAAAGCGGUACGCGAGCUGGGUUCAGAACGUCGUGAGACAGUUCGGUCCCUAUCUGCCGUGGGCGCAGGAUUCUUGCGAGGCCCUGCCCGUAGUACGAGAGGACCCGGGUGGACGGACCGCUGGUGUUCCGGUUGUCAUGCCAAUGGCAUCGCCGGGUAGCUAUGUCCGGAACAGAUAACCGCUGAAAGCAUCUAAGCGGGAAGCUGACCUCCAGAUUAGGAAUCCCGAGGCGCAAGCCUCCUAAAGGCCCGUUGAAGACUACAACGUUGAUAGGCCGGGUGUGUA
rnacentral:rRNA from 1 species